UGAAGCGCCAUCCAGCUCCGAGCUCCCCAGGGGAUCAGCUGAGAUGCCUCUGCCAACAGCAGUUCAACUCCCCCUGCCCCGGCCCGCCUCCCUCGCCCUCACACUGUUCCCGAGAACUCUCCCCAGUAAAAGUCCUUCUCAGGCCUUUCCUGACACUGGCUUUGAGAGUGGACACAGUGUGACAGCAGAGAGAAGACAUGGCCAUAAACAAGAACACUGAAAACAGAGUAAGAGUCCUGGGAGAAGCCCGGGCCGGAGCACCAGCGCGGCCCUGCACGGUGGCCCUCCAUAAAUGUGCCUACUCGUUGGAAAUUGGUGCCACGGAAUAUCAGCUGGCAUGUCAGUUCCCUGCAGCAUUAACUCUGCAGGAGAAUGAAGCAGAAAGCAGAGGAACGUCCACCAUGUAUCUCUUGUACACAUCAGUCUGAUGUCAUCAGAUCAUUCUAGUAAAAGAUUGAAGUUUAGGGUAUUGUCACAUUAUUUCUAAAACUAGUUCAAUAUUCAUACAUGUUUCUUUCAACAAACAGCCACCUUUAUGAACUCACUUGACACAUGGGAAUG